UACGAGGGGGGCAAGCGUUGUUCGGAAUUAUUGGGCGUAAAGAGCUUGUAGGCGGUUUGUCGCGUCUGCUGUGAAAUUUCGGGGCUCAACCCCGAACUUGCAGUGGGUACGGGCAGACUAGAGUGUGGUAGGGGAGACUGGAAUUCCUGGUGUAGCGGUGAAAUGCGCAGAUAUCAGGAGGAACACCGAUGGCGAAGGCAGGUCUCUGGGCCACUACUGACGCUGAGAAGCGAAAGCAUGGGGAGCGAACAGG
rnacentral:rRNA from 1 species